rnacentral:rRNA from 1 species
AUGAUGAACCUCUGCACCAAGCUCUCGCGCUUCUUCCUAAGCUGUAGUUCCAUUCCAGGUCACCAUGUUAGAGCUCGUGUUUUCAACCCCAGUGAAUUUGUCAGAACCAACAGUGUUGUAGCUCAUGUAACGGAUAACAUCUUGAGCACAAGGAGCCCGGAGAUCACCAUUAGCAAACUCAACAUCAGAUUCAUCUUGAUGCAACCUGAUUGUUACACAAUUGGCAAAUCCGUCGCCCGCGCCAUGGCAACACACAAGGUUGGUGCAGCUGAGUUCGAGAUCAUAACAGAGAAAAUUCACAAGUGUUCUCCUGCCGAGCUCCUCGACCAUGCGAAGCAGUUCAAUGAUUUUUUCAGUGCUUGUCCGGAUGCAUUUGCUGGCCUCAAGCGCCUGUGGCUGUGCAAUAUGAGGUUUGGUGAAUCGGACAUACCCAACAUCCUCAGCACCUGCAAGCUCUUGGAGUCUUUGCAUUUAACCAAUUGCGACUCGGGGAUGAAUUCUAUGCUGCAACUAGAACAUGCUAAACUUACUGAGCUCGAGGUCGACUUUGGGAAAUUUGAGAUAGUUGAGCUGGCAUGUCUACCAAAACUCCAACGGGUGAGCUAUAAGGGCUGGUUCAACUCUCAUAAAGGUCUCCUGUAUUUUGGUUUUGUACCACAGCUUUCAAAGCCGAGGCUUAGUAAAAUUGGCACCCGACCAACUAGGACUCUUGAGUUAAGUCAGCUCCUUGGUAAUGUUCCUUACAUAGGCAACCUGCAUCUGGAUUUUCAAAGUGAAAAGAUUUGGGUUCUGCCAGAAAGCCCGAAGCUGCUCAGACAUGUGCUCAGCCAACUACAGCAGAUGAAUCUGGACAAUCUUUCUGAAGGAUGUGAUUUAGCUUGGACAAUGUUUAUUUUUUAA